GAUAUGCACUUAGGGUAUGCAUCCUAUUUUCCUUCUCUCUUUCAUAAACUCGUUCACUUUAAUUAAAUUUAAAGAUUUAAUUAAUGGUAUUAAUUCAAGAAGAGACUAAUUAAUUUAAUAAAUUCAAGGAUUUACUUGAAAAAAAACAUAUAAAGUCACUUACUUAACUUAAUUCAAGAGAAAUCUUAUCCAAAAGAUUUAUUUGCAAAAAGAAAUGGGCUUACUUUUCUGCUUCUUUAUAUUAGUUGAAGCAUAAAACAAAAACCAUAGAGAGUCCAAUCAAUUUAAAUAAAGAAGCCCAUCUAAGUUAAAAGGGAGGGUCCUCAUAUCUAAGUCAAACAUCUCAUUCAUCUCUAUUUCCCUCACUGUGUAUCCUUCUCUCUCUCCUUGCUGAAACUCUCUCUAAUUCUCUCUCUACUUCACGGUUUCUCUCUCUUUGCUCUUUCUUUUCAUUUUCGCCAAACAAGAGAUAGUCUAUGUUUCCUUCACGAUCGGAGGUCCAAAUAAUGUCCGAUCGUCCCGAAAUUUUAACCAAAGGUAGAUGACUCAUAAAGCAUCAUUUUUACCGAAGGAAAUAGAAUUUUAAGGGUUAGAUCUACUAAAAUUAAUUUCGUAAGGGGCUGCAGUUUCGUACAAUAGCAGUGUCGAUUUUCUACACGAUCGGGGGUUCAAACAUUGUCCGAUCGUUCUGAAAUUUUAAUGGAAGAGGUAGAAUUAAGGGGAGUGUUUAUUGGCGGAGCUCCCGGGAUGGUGUAGGAUUUGGUAAAAAAAACAAAGUCUUGGUACUAUUCUUCCCUUACCCACUUCCUAUUCUUUUGCCCAUUAGGUAGAUAUGCAUAUGUGAUGACUUCGGGUCGUUUUCAGUGAAUAGUGUCGCACUAUUCAUAUGUUGACUAUGUUUAAAGAUAGAAAGAGUUGUUUUUGUUACUGUAUUAUUGCACUGUCGUUUCUGACUUGUCCCAUUUUUUAUAGGAAGUUGGGGUUUCUUGAAGAUAGAAUAAUAGCUUUGCGAAGAAGUCUUAGCUCAUUUUUGUAACAUCAUAAAUUAAAUACAAUUAGUACAUUUUUCAUUUGAAGAGAAAUGACUAUAUUUUGUAAAUGGACAUUUAAUAUCCAUCUGAUUUAUAAAUGUACAUGGAUAAUUAUUUUA